UUAUAUUAUUGGGGUUCUUUGAUAUGCCAAAUCUAACCGUGUAUUUAGAUUUUUAAUUUUGGGUCCUGUUUUUUAAAUUGGUUUACAUUAAGGUCCAAAGGGUCCAAAAUUAAACUUAGUUUGAUUUUAACAAAAAUUGAAUUCUUGGGGUUCUUUGAUAUGCUGAAUCUAAACAUGUGUUUCGAUUUUUGAUUAUGGGCCCAGUUUUCAAGUUGGUCCAAGUUGGGGUCCAAAAUUAAACUUUUUUUGAUUUCAACAAAAAUUGAUUAUAUGGGGUUCUUUGAUAUGCUGAAUCUAACCAUGCACUUAGAUUUUUUAUUUGUGGGCCCCGCUAUUAAAUUGGUUCAUAUUGAGGUCAAAAGGGUCCAAAAUUAAACUUUGUUUGAAUUCAUAAAAAAUUGAAAUAUUGGGGUUCUUUGAUAUUCCAAAUCUAACCGUGUAUUUAGAUUUUUAAUUUUGGGUCCCGUUUUUUAAAUUGGUCUACAUUAAGGUCCAAAGGGUCCAAAAUUAAACUUAGUUUGAUUUUAACAAAAAUUGAAUUCUUGGGGUUCUUUGAUAUGCUGAAUCUAAACAUGUGUUUCGAUUUUUGAUUAUGGGCCCAGUUUUCAAGUUGGUCCAAGUUGGGGUCCAAAAUUAAACUUUUUUUGAUUUCAACAAAAAUUGAUUAUAUGGGGUUCUUUGAUAUGCUGAAUCUAACCAUGCACUUAGAUUUUUUAUUUGUGGGCCCCGCUAUUAAAUUGGUUCAUAUUGAGGUCAAAAGGGUCCAAAAUUAAACUUUGUUUGAAUUCAUAAAAAAUUGAAAUAUUGGGGUUCUUUGAUAUUCCAAAUCUAACCGUGUAUUUAGAUUUUUAAUUUUGGGUCCCGUUUUUUAAAUUGGUCUACAUUAAGGUCCAAAGGGUCCAAAAUUAAACUUAGUUUGAUUUUAACAAAAAUUGAAUUCUUGGGGUUCUUUGACAUGCUGAAUCUAAACGUGUUUAGAUUUUUGAUUAUGGGCACAGUUUUCAAGUUGGUCCAAGUUGGGGUCCAAAAUUAAACUUUGUUUUAUUUCAACAAAAAUUGAAUAUAUGGGGUUCUUUGAUAUGCUGAAUCUAACCAUGUAUUUAGAUUUUUUAUUUGUGGGCCCCGCUAUUAAAUUGGUUCAUAUUGAGGUCAAAAGGGUCCAAAAUUAAACUUUGUUUGAUUUCAUAAAAAAUUGAAUUAUUGGGGUUCUUUGAUAUUCCAAAUCUAACCGUGUAUUUAGAUUUUUAAUUUUGGGUCCCGUUUUUUAAAUUGGUCUACAUUAAGGUCCAAAGGGUCCAAAAUUAAACUUAGUUUGAUUUUAACAAAAAUUGAAUUCUUGGGGUUCUUUGAU